AAUUCGCGGGGAUCUAUGUCGAGCGGCGGAUGAGGACAGCGGAAAGCCCAACAGAGCAGACCAGUAUAAGAUGGAAUGAUAAUAUCAGAGGGAGGACCAAUUGGUCGACGAACAUUUGAUUGGCACAUUCACUUGUGAAGCUCCUACAGUACACCUGGGGAAAGGCGCAUAUAUUUGCCAUGGAAGUGAUCAUAUCGCAGCUCUAUACCAAGCAUCAAACAAUGUUUGGUUUGUUGCCUUUAAAAAGUAGGACAAGCAGCAUGGAGGCAAAACAAGAUCAAGGUUGAACGAUGAGCACCAUAGCUUUGAAAAUGGGUUACCCCCAUGCAGCCGCCCACGCAUCAGCUCACCUUUCUGGCCAUGAUGAUUCCUGAUGGUUUGUGGCACUCCUUGUUGACGACACCCCCAUUGCCUGCACCCAGCUCACAGAUACGAUGGAAAUCAUCAUCUUUCAACUCGCCUACCUUGGCCUUCUGGG